AUUAACUGCAGUACAGGCUGCAGCAUUUCCCUCUGCUAGGAUUGUUCCUCUUGAAUUUUUUCAAUUGUGGUGAAUAGCCACUAAUCCUGAACUGAAAUAGAAAGUUGGAAAAAAGGUAGGGUAGAGUUACAAAAUACUUGCUGAGUAUACUUCAUGACAUUAGUACAAGUUUGAGGCUUAUUAUAAACAUUUGUAUGAGUUCCAAUAUGUUCUAUUGACAAUCAGAUACCAAUGUUAUUCACUGUGUGAAGGGAAAUACAUGUAAUUCCCUGUUUACUUUUCAUUUUAUUUUGUAUUGGGAACUAAUUUUCUCAGAUGAUGAGGAUGAUGAUGGAUGCUUCUAAAGCCACUGCCUGUCAUUCAGUUUCCAAAAGAGAGAGCAUCUCAACCUCACUUGUCUCAAUAGCCAAGUAGAUAUCCACAGCCAACUGACAUUCACAAUAUGCCAAAAGAAAGAAGUGCAAAUAUAGCUCCUCUCAACUUGUCAGGAAAAUCUGAGCAGUUGUUGCAUGAGACAAGAAACCUUCCUGAUACAAUUCAUUUCUCUCGUCAAAAGGAUGUUGAGGUUUUAGAAGCUGAGUUAAGUGAUGGUGCGGUUCAAAACAUGGUUAAUUACCUUGCUGUGCUUGGGGGUAAAAAUACUAGUGAAACAGUGUGAAGAAUACUAUGCCAUGUCCUGACCAGCAAAUUAAGCAAGUUAUAUGACUGGUAUGGCAAAAAAGACAAACUUUCAUUUGGCCAGUUGAAACUUUCAUCAGUGAUUCACAGGGCUGUUCGCAAGACUAUGAAAAAUGCAACAGAAGCAGAGGUUGAGUUGGUGACUCGAAAAUGGACUGCCAGUGACAGAAAUGGUGGCUGAAGGAGAAGAGAAAUAAAUUUGGACAUGACAGCUCUUGACAAUGAAUCUGCCACAGAUCUUGGGUCUGCACAAAUUGAAAAUUAAGAUAACCCAUUUACAGGUUACCUCAAUUUUCUAAGUCAUUUGACUGCGGCCAUGCUGAAGCACCACCUUUAUUCGAGCAAAUCGACCCUAGGAAUAUUCUUUGUAAGCCUAGUACUUAUUCUAUCAGUCUUUCUUGCCAAACCGCUAAGUUACGUAAACACACCAGCAUCAGUUGUCAAGCGAUGUUGGGGGGACAAACACAGACACACAAACAUAUAUAUAUAUAUAUGCGACAGGCUUCUUUCAGUUUCCAUCUACCAAAUCCACUCACAAGGCUUUGGUCGGCUAUAGUAGAUGACACUUGCCUAAGGUGCCACGCAGUGGGACUGAACCCAGAACCAUGUGGUUGGUAAGCAAGCUACUUACCACACAGCCACUCCUGCGCCUCAGUUGUUCAUUUAAAAAUUUGUUUUCUGGCAAUUUCUACAUGAUUUUUCAGAUAUUCUCAUACACAUGCCAUGUAAACUGAUGUUCAUACACUUACAUCUUCAAAAUAGAUUUAAUAUUGUUUCUAUUUAGCAAUGGGUGGUGCCUUAGGUGCCUAUAACUUUGGAAAGUUGAACUAUGAACUUUUAUGCUUCUUUUUAUUCUCUCUUUCCAUCUCCGUUUUCUAUUACUCUCUUCCUCUGUUAUCAUCUUAUUAAUAUAUAGCCUACCAUUUUCCCCCCUAUUUAUCUCUGAAUAUUCCAGGAAUAUUCCAGGAAUACUCGGGAAUAUUCCAGAAAAAGCUGUAAGAUUUUGAAAUUCUUCCUAUAAUAAUAUUGUAUAUGACGUGAGAUGUUUGACUUGCCUUAAUGUUUGACGUCUCAUUUAACAAUUAUAUAUCCGCUGCAUCAGAAAUCUGCAAUGGCUCCAUAACUACCGUCUCAUUACAGAACUUACCUAGCGUAUAUAAUCACCUGUGAACUAAACUCCCAUACUGUAUAUAUCUUUAUAUAUAUAUAUAUAUAUAUAUAUAUAUAUAGAUAUACGUAGGUAAAUUGAAAAUUAGAGGUAAUACUUGACAAUUGUAAGCACCUGUGUAUUCCAGCUGGUGGUUGCGGUGAAGGAAUAAAUUGUAAAUCCAAAAGAAAAAAAUAACAACAAAACUACAAAGGAUUCCGCGGUACACGUGUUUCAAGCUCUACAUGUGUAUAAUAUAAUAUAACAUAAUAUAAUAUAACAUAAUAUAAUGAUGAUGAUGAAUAUGUGUAUAAUCUACAAUGUAAAGCUAUCUUCAGCCGCAAAAAUUAUCUCUCUCCCAGGAAAUUAUACCAUCUUGAGGUUGAAGUAAGAAGAAAUGUGUGAUGUAAGAGGUGAAGAUCCUUUCGGUAUUUUGUAUAGUACUAUAUCUGGCAUAAAAAAGGCCAAGAAUAAACUUACCAUUCAAAGAACUGACCAGCUAUAAACAUGAUUUUCUUCUUUUCUCUUUCCCAUUGACACUCCUUUUAGAUACACAGGUACAUACACACGUACACACACAGACACACACACCAACACAAAAACACACACACCCACCCUCUCUCUAUCUCUCACUUUUCCCUCCAUUCCUCACCCUCUCUUACUAUCCUAUAUAUCUUUCUCUCCACCCCUAUACACUCAAUAAAACUAUAUAAAGAGACGGCAUCGCAAGGUGAAAUAAAAAAUUUGAAAAUCCUACAAGAUUAGGUGAAGAGCGCUCUAUAUGAUUUAUAAAACAUGUGACAUGUUAAUAAAAAUCUGUAAAUGUAC